rnacentral:misc_RNA from 1 species
AAUUGCAGAAGCUUCCGGAAAUAACAAGCAUGUCUGCCGCUAGAGACAUAUCUGAGGCAGAAUGGUCUAACAAGCUUAGUUUCUGAGCAACAAGGGAGCUCAGGGUCCCAAGGGUUGCCCCAAGACACCAGAGAGAGUGACCUACGCGUCCAAGAGGAUCUGUGCCUUGCUUCUACUGCUCAAGAGCAAGAGAAGGAUGUCCCCAAGGAAAACUCUGAACCAGAUCAAACUGGAAAAGACCAAUGAUGAAACAUGAAAUCCUUUUGGUUGCUAAUGCUCCUUUCUAUUCUUUUUCUUGAUGGACCAACAAUACAGAAGAUUUCCACUACCUUGUUGACAUCUUGUAGUUAUUAGGAGUAUGUGAAGCAAGUGGAUGUUAAAAAUAUUUGUGUUUAUAGGUUGUACUAUGUGUGCCCUUGAU